AGACUACUAGACUCCGUUCCUGGUCACGCAGAGGGCUGUUGUCUAGGACAGUGAUCUUCUUUAACAAAUACCAAGGCGGAUGCUGAAACAGGACCAUUUCUGUCAUCUUUGCGUUGGUUCUAGUGGCGACUUGGUAACAGCGCCACCUGCUGGACAACAGAGGUUAAGUGUGGGCCUCUGCUAUGAAGACAGUGCAUACUUGGGGCACAGAACUCAGAAGACUUGAGCUAGACCUGCCCUGAAAGCCUCUUUCCUCUAGUUGAGUGCCCAUUGUUCCAGAAACCACGAUGAAAGCUGCUAAGUGGCCGUGCUGCCUAGUUCUGC